GUGCUGGCUUCAGCAGCAUAUAUACUAAAAUUGGAAUAAUACAGAGAAGGUUAGCAUGGCCCCUGUUCAAGGAUGACUUGCAAAUUCGUGAAGUGUUCCAUAUUGAG
ensembl:snRNA U6 U6 spliceosomal RNA